rnacentral:rRNA from 1 species
CAGCCGCCGCGGUAAUACGUAGGGUGCGAGCGUUAAUCGGAAUUACUGGGCGUAAAGCGUGCGCAGGCGGUUGUGUAAGACAGGUGUGAAGUCCCCGGGCUUAACCUGGGAACUGCGCUUGUGACUGCACAGCUAGAGUAUGGCAGAGGGGGGUGGAAUUCCACGUGUAGCAGUGAAAUGCGUAGAGAUGUGGAGGAACACCGAUGGCGAAGGCAGCCCCCUGGGCCAAUACUGACGCUCAUGCACGAAAGCGUGGGGAGCAAACAGGAUUAGAUACCCGCGUAGUCCCUGUCUCUUAUAC